rnacentral:rRNA from 1 species
UUGUAAUCUGGAGAAGCAUUUUCCGCGUCGGACCGUGUACAAGUUUCUUGGAAUAGAACGUCAUAGAGGGUGAGAAUCCCGUCCAUGACACGGACUACCGAUGCUUUGUGAUAUGCUCUCGAAGAGUCGAGUUGUUUGGGAAUGCAGCUCAAAAUGGGUGGUAAAUUCCAUCUAAAGCUAAAUAUUGGCGAGAGACCGAUAGCGAACAAGUACCGUGAGGGAAAGAUGAAAAGCACUUUGGAAAGAGAGUUAAACAGUACGUGAAAUUGUUGAAAGGGAAACGCUUGAAGUCAGUCGCGUUGGCAGAGACUCAGCCUUGCUUUGCAUGGUGUACUUCUCAGUUAACGGGUCAACAUCAAUUUCAGUUGGUGGAUAAAGGCAUUGGGAAUGUGGCACCUUCGGGUGUGUUAUAGACCUUUGUUGCAUACACUGACCGGGAUUGAGGAACGCAGCACGCCACUAAGGCCAGGGAUUCGUCCCAUGUAACGUGCUUAGGAUGUUGGCAUAAUGGCUUUAAGCGACCCGUCUUGAAACACGGACCAAGGAGUCUAACAUGCCUGCGAGUAUUAGGGUGGAAAACCCUUGUGCGUAAUUAACGUGAAAGUUGGGACCUCUUGCGAGGGCACCGACGCCCGGCCCUGAAGUUUACUGACGGCGCUGCGGUAGAGCAUGUAUGUUGGGACCCGAAAGAUGGUGAACUAUGCCUGAAUAGGGUGAAGCCAGGGGAAACUCUGGUGGAGGCUCGUAGCGAUUC